rnacentral:rRNA from 1 species
ACCCGCUGAACUUAAGCAUAUCAGUAAGCGGAGGAAAAGAAACUAACUAGGAUUCCCCGAGUAACGGCGAGUGAAAGGGGAGAAGCCCAGCGCCGAAGCCCGCGGCCCCCGGUCGCAGUGCAAUGUGGCGUUUCGGUGGCGGCUCGCCGCGCCGACCUCGGCACGAGUACCUCUGAAAGGGUCCGCCCGCAGCGGGUGUCAGGCCUCUACUUGCCGAAUGGUCGCGCGCGGCCCGUCGUUCAUCGCGGAGUCGGGUUGCUUGAGAGUGCAGCCCAAAGUGGGUGGUAAGCUCCAUCUAAGGCUAAAUACCUAGUGCGAGACCGAUAGCAAACAAGUACCGUGAGGGAAAGUUGCAAAGAACUUUGAAAAGAGAGUUCAAGAGUACGUGAAACCGUUCAGAGGCAAACGGACGGAACCGGGCGAGUUCGCCGCCGCCAUUCAGCCGCCGCCCCUCGCGGGCGACGGUGCACUUGGCGGCGACGGAGCGCGACGACCGCCUGACGAGUCGCGAGAAGCCCGGCGGCAAGGUGGCGACGCGCGUACGCGCGCCGUGUUACAGGCCGCCGAGGCGUUGGCCGACUCGACGGGCGAGGAGCGCCUGCGACGCACUCCCCUCUUACCUUGCGGGAGUGACUCGACGCGGUGGACUGGCGGACGCCGGCGGCGAACUGCGUGCAGUUCGCCGCCGCGCGCUCCGUCUGUCGUGCCGCGCGGUGUCACGCGUCAUCCAGGGUCCGAGUCGCGUGGUUCCCGGCACUCCGUCCGACCCGUCUUGAAACACGGACCAAGGAGUUGAGCACGCUCGCGAGUCGAUGGGCUCGACGAACCCCAAAGGCGCAGCUAAGGCAAAACGGGCGUGAUCCGGCACUGGCGUGUCGGCGCAACGCCGGCCCGCAGCCGACUCGUUGCAAGUGGCUGCGGCGCAAGAGCGGGCGUGCUCAGACCCGAAAGGUGGUGAACUAUGCUUGAGCAGGGCGAAGCCAGAGGAAACUCUGGUGGAGGCUCGCAGCGAUCCUGACGUGCAAAUCGGUCGUCAAACUUGAGCAUAGGGGCGAAAGACUAAUCGAACCGCCUAGUAGCUGGUUCCCUCCGAAGUUUCCCUCAGGAUAGCUGGCACUCGAUUCGCAUGGUUUUAUCCGGUAAAGCGAAUGAUUAGAGGCAUUGGGGACGAAACGUCCUCAACCUAUUCUCAAACUUUAAAUGGGUAAGAGGCGCGACCCUUCCCUAUCGGGGUCGCGUGCUCGAACAGAGAGUGCCCAGUGGGCCGUUUUUGGUAAGCAGAACUGGCGCUGUGGGAUGAACCAAACGUGCGGUUAGGGUGCCUAACGCACGCUCAUGAGACACCACAAAAGGUGUUGGUUGAUAUAGACAGCAGGACGAUGGCCAUGGAAGUCGGAAUUCGCUAAGGAGUGUGUAACAACUCACCUGCCGAAUCAACUAGCCCUGAAAAUGGAUGGCGCUGGAGCGUGCGACCCAUACCGCACCGUCGGGGCAAUGCGUGCGUAAUGCCAGGCCCCGACGAGUAGGAGGGCGUGUCGGUGGCGUUGAAGCGUUGUGCGAGAGCACGCGUGGAGCCGCCUUCAGUGCAGAUCUUGGUGGUAGUAGCAAGUAUACAAAUGAGAACUUUGUAGACCGAAGUGGAGAAGGGUUCCAUGUGAACAGCAGUUGGACAUGGGUCAGUCGGCCCUAAGAGAUCGGAGAACUCCGUUCUGAACGGGGAGGAGGCGUUCGUUGCGAGCCGUCUGACGUGAGCGGCCGCCCCCGCGGACAUGCACGCGGAAAGGGCGGCAGAGCCGACGCGCGGCCGCCGAAACGGGCGAACGACCUUGCUAGCCCCGAACCGAUCGAAAGGGAAUCGGGUUAAUAUUCCCGAACCUGGUGGUGGAGAUUGGGCCCUCGGGCCCCAGUGCGGUAACGCAACCGAACUCGGAGACGCCAGCGUCGAUCCCGGGAAGAGUUCUCUUUUCUUUGUUAGGAGCGGACUCCCUGGAAUUGGCUUGUCCAGAGAUAGGGACGUUGCAUCCGUAAAGCGUCGCGCCUCACGCGGCGUCCGGUGCAUCGGCGUUGGCCCUUGAAAAUCCGAGGGAGGCAGUGUGAUUUUCACUCCAGGCCGUACCCGAAUCCGCAGCAGGUCUCCAAGGUGAACAGCCUCUGGUCGAUAGAACAAUGUAGGUAAGGGAAGUCGGCAAAUCCGAUCCGUAACUUCGGGAUAAGGAUUGGCUCUGAGGUGCGGGCUGCUUCGGGUCGCGUCAAGAAGCGGAGCGCGCGUCGGUUGGACUGGACGCGCUCGCGCGCGUUCGGACCGCCGCCGGCGUGCCUCCGUGGACGGGCGUGGCUUUCGCCGGCGUCGGCUCUCGCGGGCCGGCGUCGGCUUCGUUCGGCCUAAACGCACAGCACAGAACUGGCGCGGACUCUGGGAACACGACUGUCUAAUUAAAACAAAGCAUCGCGAUGGCCGCUGGUCGGUGUUGACGCGAUGUGAUUUCUGCCCAGUGCUUUG